GGGACCGUAGUCUAGCUUGGUAGGAUCCGUGCUUGGGGUGCACGUGGUCGUGAGUUCAAAUCUCGCCGGUCCCACCA
rnacentral:tRNA from 1 species